UACAGAGGGGGCGAGCGUUGUUCGGAAUUACUGGGCGUAAAGGGCGCGUAGGCGGCCAACUAAGUCAGACGUGAAAUCCCUCGGCUCAACCGGGGAACUGCGUCUGAUACUGGAUGGCUUGAAUUCGGGAGAGGGAUGCGGAAUUCCAGGUGUAGCGGUGAAAUGCGUAGAUAUCUGGAGGAACACCGGUGGCGAAGGCGGCAUCCUGGACCGAGAUUGACGCUGAUGGCGCGAAAAGCCAGGGGGAGCAAACGGGGAU
rnacentral:rRNA from 1 species